AAAGACUAGAUGGUGUAGCACACA
rnacentral:miRNA from 1 species